rnacentral:tRNA from 1 species
GCCAUUGCUCAGUGGUAGAGCAGCUGCAUGGUAUGCAGAAGGACCCAGGUUCAAUCCCUGAUAUCUGCA